AGUGAACGCUGGCGGUAGGCCUAACACAUGCAAGUCGAACGGCAGCACAGUAAGAGCUUGCUCUUACGGGUGGCGAGUGGCGGACGGGUGAGGAAUACAUCGGAAUCUACUUUUUCGUGGGGGAUAACGUAGGGAAACUUACGCUCAUACCGCAUACGACCUACGGGUGAAAGCAGGGGAUCUUCGGACCUUGCGCGAUUGAAUUAGCCGAUGUCGGAUUAGCUAGUUGGCGGGGUAAAGGCCCACCAAGGCGACGAUCCGUAGCUGGUCUGAGAGGAUGAUCAGCGACACUGGAACUGAGACACGGUCCAGACGACUAAGGGAGGCAGCAGUGGGGAAUAUUGGACAAUGGGCGCAAGCAUGAUCCAGCCAGACCGCGUGGGUGAAGAAGGCCUUCGGGUUGUAAAGACCUUUUGUUGGGAAAGAAAAGCAGCAGGUUAAUACCCCGCUGUUCUGACGGUACCCAAAGAAUAAGCACCGGCUAACUUCGUG
rnacentral:rRNA from 1 species